rnacentral:rRNA from 1 species
CCCCUAGAUGUCCUGGGCCGCACGCGCAAUACAAUGUAAAGUUCAGAAAGCAUAUCCUGUUCCGGAAGGCAGUGGGUAAUCUUUUCAAUAUUUUACGUGUUAGGGAUCGAUCUUUGCAAUUAUAGAUCUUGAACGAGGAAUACCUAGUAAGUGCAGCUCAUCAGGCUGUACUGAUUACGUCCCUGCCCUUUGUACACACCGCCCGUCGCUCCUACCGAUUUCGAGUGGUCCGGUGAAUCUUUUGGAAUUAGAGUGCAAACUCAAACUAAGAUCGAUAAACCUUAUCACUUAGAGGAAGGAGAAGUCGUAACA